rnacentral:rRNA from 1 species
CCCUUAGAUGUUCUGGGCUGCACGCGCGCUACACUGAUACUUUCAGCGAGUCCACCACCUUGCCUGAGAGGGUGGGGUAACCUCUGGAAAGUGUAUCGUGAUGGGGAUCGAUUAUUGUAAUUAUUAAUCUUCAACGAGGAAUUCCUAGUAAGCAUGUGUCAUCAGCCCGUGCUGAUUACGUCCCUGCCCUUUGUACACACCGCCCGUCGCUCCUACCGAUUGAAUGUUAAGGCGAACCCUCCGGAAUCGCGGUUCGGAUUGGUUUUCCUUUCUGAACCAACGAUGAAGUUGUGUAAGCCUUGACAUUUAGAGGAAGGAAAAGUCGUAACA